UGCACUUUUUGGUAAGAAGAUGUUAACAAAAGUUGUUCGUCAUGAUGAGGGCUACAACUUUGCUUAAUAUCCUUUUAACAAAUUAUGCGUAUUUAAGGAGAUAGGGCUGCGCAUGCGCAGAACGUAUCUCCUUACCUUUGCGCUUUUUGGUAAGAAGAUGUUAAUAAAAGUUGUUCGUCAUGAUGAGGGCUACAACUUUGCUUAAUAUCCUUUUAACAAAUUAUGCG
rnacentral:miRNA from 1 species